UACGUAGGGUGCGAGCGUUGUCCGGAAUUAUUGGGCGUAAAGAGCUCGUAGGUGGUUUGUCGCGUCUGCUGUGAAAACUCAGGGCUUAACCCUGAGCUUGCAGUGGGUACGGGCAGACUAGAGUGCGGUAGGGGAGACUGGAAUUCCGUGGUGUAGCGGUGAAAUGCGCAGAUAUCAGGAGGAACACCGGUGGGCGAAGGCGGGGUCUCUGGGCCGUAACUGACGCUGGAGGAGCGAAAGCGUGGGGAGCAAACAGG
rnacentral:rRNA from 1 species